rnacentral:rRNA from 1 species
UACGAAGGGUGCAAACGUUGCUCGGAAUUAUUGGGCGUAAAGCGCGCGUAGGCGGCUUGGCAAGUCGGAUGUGAAAUCCCUCGGCUCAACCAAGGAAGUGCAUCCGAAACUGCUGAGCUUGAGUACUUAAGAGGAUCGCGGAAUUCCCGGUGUAGAGGUGAAAUUCGUAGAUAUCUGGAGGAACACCGGUGGCGAAGGCGGCAUCCUGGACCGGCAUUGACGCUGAGGCGCGAAAGCCAGGGGAGCAAACGGG